UACGAAGGGGGCUAGCGUUGUUCGGAAUCACUGGGCGUAAAGCGCACGUAGGCGGACUUUUAAGUCAGGGGUGAAAUCCCGGGGCUCAACCUCGGAACUGCCUUUGAUACUGGAAGUCUGGAGUCCGAGAGAGGUGAGUGGAACUCCGAGUGUAGAGGUGAAAUUCGUAGAUAUUCGGAAGAACACCAGUGGCGAAGGCGGCUCACUGGCUCGGUACUGACGCUGAGGUGAGAAAGCGUGGGGAGCAAACAGG
rnacentral:rRNA from 1 species